rnacentral:rRNA from 1 species
UACGUAGGGGGCGAGCGUUGUCCGGAAUUAUUGGGCGUAAAGAGCUCGUAGGCGGCUUGGCAAGUCGGAUGUGAAAACUCCAGGCUCAACCUGGAGCCGCCAUUCGAUACUGCUAUGGCUAGAGUCCGGUAGGGGAGUGUGGAAUUCCCGGUGUAGCGGUGAAAUGCGCAGAUAUCGGGAGGAACACCGAUGGCGAAGGCAGCACUCUGGGCCGGCACUGACGCUGAGGAGCGAAAGCGUGGGAGCGAACAGG